AUAGUCCUAUAUUUACAACGUCAUGCCUGCUUUUAUGAGAAUAUAUAUAUAUAUAUAUAUAUAUAUAUAUAUAUAUAUUCUCAUAAAAGCAGGCAUGACGUUGUAAAUAUAGGACUUG